GACGAACGCUGGCGGCGUGCUUAACACAUGCAAGUCGAGCGGUAAGGCCCUUUCGGGGGUACACGAGGCGGCGAACGGGUGAGUAACACGUGGGUGACCUGCCCUCAGCUCUGGGAUAAGCCUGGGAACCGGGUCUAAUACCGGAUAUGACUCCAUGACGCAUGUUGUGGGGUGGAAAGCCUUGUGCGGCGUGAGGAUGGGCCCGCGGCCUAUCAGCUUG
rnacentral:rRNA from 1 species